ensembl:lncRNA
GGAGAACAGCUGCUCGAUGCUGUCAGUGUUAAAAGCCCUCAAUUAGGAGGAAUGCUGAGGGACAGCACAGGAAGCCAGAAAUAGCUGAAAGAACUGUGAGGUGCUGUGACAAGGGGUGGCAGCCCUUCCUGCCCAGAGAUGGACCCCUCAUCAGGCUGUCAGGAGAGAGUCCUGUAGAGAGACAACCAAUUCUUCACCUUGGAAAUAAAAAGCCUCUGACAUCACCUGCUGCUUAUCUCACUGCAGUGACACGUCGUUUCUUUCCAGGCCUAAGGAGCACAAACCUGACUCCAAUUGCAGCUUAAUUGCUAUCAAUCCUGUUAAUUGAAUUGGGCUCUCCUGUGACACUUAGCACUGGCUGAAGGAGGGAAACAGGAAAGGAAAAAAAAAGUGCAAUGUGGGAAACAAGCUCAGCUGACUUAAGGAGUGUGGCUGUUGGGAAGCACAGAAGCAUAUGGCCCUCUGAGCUGGGCAGAUGUGUCUAAACCUUUAUGCAAAGGAACAAAUCUCCUCUUACCCAGGCAUUGCCACAGCAGAUUGGGGAAAUGUAGUGUCUGAAAUUUAGCAGUUAUGGGUGCCAUGAAGAUAUUCCACGGCCUCUCAUUUUAAGCAUUGCACCUGGCUCCUUCCCGUGUAGUCACAUUCUGAAACUUCAAUGUCAUCUUUUUCUGCUCUUGCAUCUACUGAGAAACUCUGUCCUAUGGAACAGCAGUCUUCAUAUUUCAUCAUUUCUUUGGGAGAGGCCUAAGCAGGG